rnacentral:lncRNA from 1 species
CCCGACCUCCCAUUUUUGCUUCUUUUCAUCUCUCUCAAAAUUCCAACCACCACCGCCUGCCGCCGCUGGAGCAGACAACUAAAUGACCAUUGAUCUCCCUAACCAGCUCUUCUCUCUCCCCAUAUCCCUCUAUUUGGGGAACGCCGCCUUCCACCGAUGAUGCCACUAGUCCGUCGAACCAAUGAAAACCAACGCCCCGCACCACUGGCCGGCGAAAUCAACCGGCGAACCCCACUGCUCUAGCCGCGCUGCCUCUUCACCUAAAACCCUUCAUAUCUCCUCCUUACACCGCUGCCAGCUACCACUAGACAAUGAAACCAAGCCGCCAACAAAACUAGCCGCGCCUUCCGCCUCUUCUCCCUCACGCCGCCACUCCAAACUCUGUCUAAUUAACACCGAAAAAGAGUAAAGUCCAUGAUGAAUUCUCAGAAUCUGUCCUUGGUUUGUUGAUUUGUUUCAGUUUCCUUCUUCUACUCUUUUUUCUUCUCACUGAUUUUUAGAUUCGAAAUAGGCAUAGUUUGGCUUUGAAUUUUGAGUUGAUUCUUAAUAUUUCAUGUUUGUUUAUGUAUUUAGAUCUACAUACAUAAAAAAAGCCCAAUUUCUUUGAACUUCCAUUAAUCCUAGAUUUCUCUAAAUUUAGGACUGAUUUUCUAGAACUUGCUAUUCUGUCUCAAUUUCGUGAGUUUGUUCUUUAAUUUCAUAAGAUUCAAAAUUCGUGGACAUCUAUUAAUGGUUCCCUUCUAGAAUUUACGAAUUCUCGUUCCUUGAUAUUUUUAUAUUGUUAUGUGAAUUAUUCUGGUCCUUUGAUACAUUUGAUACAUUUGAAUUAGUUGUUUAGUUUCUUACACUUCACAUAUUUUCAAAUACAUCUUGAUCAGUUUGUUUCACUUUAAUUCUUUCUGAAUUAGAAUCACAGUGAGAGUGUGACUGGCUCUGAAUACCGCUUAUG